GUGCUCACUUUGGCAGCACGUAUACUAAAAUUGGAAAGAUACAGAGAAGACUGGCAUGGCCCCUGCACAAGGAUGACAUGCAAAUUCGUGAAGUGUUCCAUAUUUAA
ensembl:snRNA U6 U6 spliceosomal RNA